AGUGAACGCUGGCGGUAGGCCUAACACAUGCAAGUCGAACGGCAGCACAGGAGAGCUUGCUCUCUGGGUGGCGAGUGGCGGACGGGUGAGGAAUACACCGGAAUCUACCUUUUCGUGGGGGAUAACGUAGGGAAACUUACGCUAAUACCGCAUACGACCUUCGGGUGAAAGCAGGGGACCUUCGGGCCUUGCGCGGAUAGAUGAGCCGAUGUCGGAUUAGCUAGUUGGCGGGGUAAAGGCCCACCAAGGCGACGAUCCGUAGCUGGUCUGAGAGGAUGAUCAGCCACACUGGAACUGCGACACGGUCCAGACUCCUGCGGGAGGCAGGAGUGGGGAAUAUUGGACAAUGGGCGCAAGCCUGAUCCAGCCAUACCGCGUGGGUUAAGAAGGCCUUCGGGUUGUAAAGCCCUUUUGUUGGGAAAGAAAAGCAGCCAGUUAAUACCUGGUUGUUCUGACGGUACCCAAAGAAUAAGCACCGGCUAACUUCGUGCCAGCCGCCGCCGUAA
rnacentral:rRNA from 1 species